AUGACUCUCAGGCAUCACAGCUACCCACAGAUUUCUUAAGACUCGAGUGGAAGAGAACUCGGAAACUGGUCGUUUGACUCAAACAGAUCUAUAAGAUACAAAGGGUUGCUACAGAGACAAGAAUGAGACACUGAGAGACUUCAUCUCACAAAAAGAAGUAGUUGAUCAUGGUUUCACAGAGGGCACUGUGAUGUGCCUGUCUGAUAUGCAUGACCUUGUGUUAAAGAGACUUGGGAAAGUGUUCAUGCUGCUAUUUACUGGAGAGGAUUGUUUUCCACGUAGAAACACUCAUAGCAGCAUGGAGAAGCCAGCAGAGAAGCACUAAUGAAACAGAGGUGGAGACUCUGCUCUCCUUAUGUAUCCAAAGAGAGAAUGGAUCAAGAAGAUGAAGAAACAUCUUCAAUCAGUAAAAGAGUUGCAGUCCUUCAUGGUUUAGCUGUGGGCAAAAGGCAGCCAAGCUUCUUCCUUUAACCAAAGAAGGAGAUUCACAUACAAGAAGAUUAAGAAAACAUCAAGACAAUACUUUUACUGCUGUGUAAUUUAUACAGUCUCUUGAGAAGGGGAAAAAGAAAAGAGUCAAAAUGUAUUUUAAUGGCUGCAUUAGAAAUGGACAGGAUUAUAGUUUACAGUUUUAUAUUACUUCUGCACUUUGUAGAGAAAUAUAUUACAAAUUUUCAGUGAUAAUUUAAGGAUUUAACUUCUAAUCUAGUCUUCUAGGCAAAAGAGUAUUUAGUUCUCCACACCUAAAUUCUUUUGGAUAGGUAAGGAUGGCAUGAAAAGUAUCUCCUAAAAAUUAAUAACUUGCAGUCUGCUCAAAUUUUCCAUCUCAUUGUCUCCUCCCUUCCCAAAUAAGAGACCCUUAUUUUAUGAUAUUAAAUAGCCUUAGAGCGAAACAGCUUACACAUUCUUAAAGGAAACUAUUUCCUGAUAGCAGGUUCUUCAAUACCAGCUGCUUCAGGUGGAGACAAAUUCCUUUUGGGGAUUACACGCAUUUCUAAAUAUUACCUGAUGUAACUCUUACAAAAGACUAUACUCAAUUAUCUGAUAAGGUACAUGAUAAAACUUCUUAUGACCUAGAGCCACGAGACUAAAGCUUCGGUCAGAGACAGGGUGGAUGUGGGACUCAGGGAGCAGUUUAUGGGUGAGAGAUGGCAACUGUUUCCUAUAUGGCCCAGGACUGGAGUAGCUGGGUCCAGCGUGGUGUCCAAAGGUGAUUUCCUGGUGUCAGUCACAGCUCACAUCCUCCCACAGAGAGGACUAAGGUUACUUAGGAGACAGCCCCGCAGUAGUAAAGCCAUGAUGAAGAAAGCCAGAAAAGUCCCAGCAUGGAGUCAUACUUGAAUGUAUGAACACUGUAGUGGGAGCUGCUGAUCUCCUCUCUCUGGUCACCAGUGCUGGGACAUGAGGAAAUGGAGUGAAGCUGAGUCAGGGAAAGUUCAGACUAGGCCUUAGGAAAAGGUCACCAAGAGCCUGAUCAGUCACUUGAACUGGCUUCCCAGGAAGGUGGACAUGGCACCAAGCCUGAGAGGGAUCUAGGGCCAUCUGGACAAUGCUCUUAGUCAUACAGUUUAGUUUUAGGUAGUUCUGUGAGGAGCAGGGAGUUGAACUUGACCCUUAGGUCCAUUUCAAUUCAACAUAUUCUAUGAUUCUAUGUAUGUACAUUGAGCAUUAUAGGUUGGGCAGCCAAUUACAAGAUAAUAAUAGUAAUCCGCUGUUACAGUUGAAUAGGGGUUAUAUUUACAAAUCUUUUUGUCUGAGAUGUUUGACACUACCACAGACAGAAAAACAGUAAUUAUGAAAUAAUAAAUAAUCUUGUUCUGACUUAGAGGUGGGCAAAAUAGCUCUAGGGCUUCACAGACCUUUUAUCUCACUUUCCAGUAACUUUCAGCCUCAGUAGUGGACACAGUGGUGGGAGCUAGCGCUAUUUCUCAGUUUUGUGUCAUGCAACUGUCACAGGCAGAGCCAGAGCUCCAGACAGUUUAUUAAAGAAGCUCUGCCAUUGAGUUAAGAGAUGCUUUCUAAACUCCUUCUCAGAGAGGAGUCAAUGUGUGGAUGGAUCCUGUCUUAGCCCCAGACUUUGCCAAUGAUUUAUGUGCAAAGAAUUAUACAGGUGUAACUGAACCUUUAUACAACUUUGUCCUGCAGAAUUAAGGAUGGCAAACCAGAUAUAUUUUUAUAAAUAUAUAUGGUUUAUCAUGAUAAUGAUUAGAUGAAAAGAUCUUAAUGAGAAUUAUUUACUACAGAAUAUAGUAACUGUAACAACUACUAUAAUAUAGUGCAAUAUGAAGCAAUAUUGAAAAAAUUAUAUUAAAAGCAAUUGUAUUAAAGCAAUUUUAUUAAUGUUAGCAGACCCAAUUAUUAAAUAGAGAUUGAUGUUUUACUCACUCAUACCAACGACAGUGGGCAAGUCUCUUUAGCUCAGCCUCAAGGAAUAACCUUUAGGAGCUUCCCCAGUCAAGGGAGGAAUCUCCAAGCAUAUACCCCAACAAAAGAUAUAUUAGAAGACCCUACUCUUAAAAUUUGGCACUGGGCUUUUAUAUAUGACUGUCAUAUGUCUCCAGGCCUGCUGUGUUAGGUCAGCAGCUUUAGAUAAGUUAUCAGUAGGAUCACCUGUUUAGUCCUUUAUCCGGGUAUUUUACCGGGUCUACCUUAUCUUAUCUCAGUAUCAGGAUGUUUAACUUUGGGAUUGAUGAGUCAGGCUGGUUUCAGCAUUGUUCAACACCAAAAACAGCAUGACACCCCCUAUUCAUUUACCACUGAUAGCUUUGCAAAUAGGGCAUUGUUCAAGUUGUGCUCCCCACUCUAGGCAGAGCAUCCUGGUGCAGCAACAUACCCCUUUGAGCUGGCCUGUGUGCCACCAGUGGCAAAUACAGCAUAGGACGGUCCCUGUCCGAGUUCAGAUCAUGUCCAGGUUUAUGGCUGAACAAAUGAACCUUUGAGAAUUUUGGCUUAAAGGUUUUUACUGUCCCAAAUUCCAUGUUAUUCUGUUUUCUCUAAUGUAAGAGCUUUCCUUUCUGUAUUAUUUAAAUAUGCAGCUAUACAUGAUAAAACAUUUUACUUGUAACUGCUUCCCUAUUUGCCAAAAGUAUUUCUUAAAUCCACCUUCUUCCACAAAGUCUCUCAUCUCUGAUCUGCAUAAAAAGUUCUUCAUGUUAAUUCAGAUUUAUUAAAAACCAAACCUGCUCAGCUAUAGGAUUAACACAUAUUCAGAUCAUGAUACGCAUAAUUUGAACUUAAGGUCUAUCACAGAAGUUGCAUGUUUAGAAACCUAUAACUUUCUGUUAUCAUCUACACUCAGCUGACUAAAUGUGAUCCUAAAAUUAUGACAGUUGCAAAACCAUGGAUUCUGAAGCUCACUGAAUAUCCUCAUUGAGGCAAAAGCAAAUGAUAUAAAAGGAGUUUUGAAAAAAUAAAGUAGAACACUGACUGGUGACUGAUGCCUUUAUA